AUGACUAUCCUAAGUUGGAACUGCCGGGGGGUGGGGAACUCCCGGACAGUUCGAGACCUAGCGACUAUGAUCCAGUCGCAUUCCCCUAGCUUGGUUUUCCUUUAUGAAACUAGGCAAAGUAAGGAUAAGAUGAAAAGCUACCGAAAUAGGUUUGGUCUGCGAGGUUUUGAAGGUGUUAGCAGUGAUGGUAAUAGCGGGGGGCUUGCUCUCUAU
rnacentral:rRNA from 1 species